GGUAAUCUAACUUCAACAAUAAACAAGGGCGAUUACAUCCUAUUAUAUAGGCAUUCCGCUGAUUUCGCACCGCAGUCAUUAUAGUUGCAAUUUGCAAUGCCAGAAAAAUUACAAAAAGUGAUGUUAUUUGAAGUGUGGUUUGUAGGUUUUAAAAAAUUGGAAAUGGAUCUUAUUAUGGUAAUAGUCAUAAUUAUAUUACUCUACAUACUACUAGUGUACUUAACUACUUCCCACUACAACUACGAUACUGCCGCAAUUACUCCUUCUCCAACUUUAAGGAGUACUGGUACAACAGCCAACAGUACUCCAACAGCCCUUGAACCAGUACGAAAAGAUCCAGAAAUCUUAACAAAACUAAUGAGUAGUUUAUACAUUUAUACAUAUUUUUACCCAAACUUGACCGAUGAUGUAUUUGAAGUAGAAAGUCUGAGAGAAGAGUCCCCGCAAUAUCAACUUAUCAACAGCAUAUUUUGUCAAACUACAAAUUUUUACAAAUUUAACAUAAAUUUGACUGAUUUCCAAUUAGAAAGCCUGAGAGAAGAGUCUUUGGAAUAUCAAAUUAUAAAUAGGAGAUUUUUGCAAUCUACUAGAAACAGAAGUUUUUUAAAUUACAUAGUAUCGAGAAAAUACACAAUCCUUAUCUUCUACUACAAUAUGGACUAAAAAAAAAUGAAUAUGAUCGCAGAGGAAUCGUUUACGAAGAAACAUUACUGUUCCACGGAACUAAGAAAGACAAUAUUGACGAUAUUUGCCGAAAUAAUUUUAACUGGAGAUUAACAGGUACCGCUUUUGGUUCCAGAGUCGGACAAGGUGUAAAUUUCGCAUCAGAAGCUUACUUUUCAACACAUUACUGUGACGAUGGAUAUAACAAAGUGAUGAUAAUAGCUAAUGUUUUAAUUGGUAACAGCUGUAGGGGAAAUAGUGACAUGGCUAUACCACCGAUUAAUUGUGAUACCAGCACGAACGACAAUCAGAACGUAUUCGUUAAAUACGACGAUAAUACUUUCUAUCCAUCUUUUAUUAUUCAUUUUGGAGGAAUAGACUACAAGAACAAGAAUCGAACAAGUGUCACUACUAGAAGUUUUUAAUAAUCUUCUAUUUAUAUACAUACACAAUCUACAUUCGUCCGUAUACUGCGAAAACCAGGUAAAUGUAGAAAUACCGAAAUCGAGAAAAAACGUUUUUAAAGUUUAUUGCUUUAUUUUAAAUUAGGCGGACCAGUUGUGUUUGAUAUUCGAUAUGCUAAUGAAAGAUGCAUAUAUCAGAAAUAACAUUCUAUCAUUAGUUUGAAAAAGUGAAGAGACCUAGCUGAUUAAACCUAAAUUUAAGAUCAGUUAUCAGCUUUUUACUGAAUAUGGUAGAUAUACAGCGGUAGAAAUAUAUUGUUUUCCGACAAAUAUAUAUGUGCUCUUAGUUGGUUUUACAUGCAACAGAACUUUGAUUUUAUGGAAGUAAGUAGCGAUAUAUUGUUUUAUUUGAAAAUGAAAAGUUGGUUAGGGGCCGGUUGUUCGAACGCUAAUCAACAUUGAUCACUAUCAAAAUACUUAAUUACUGUCACAACUGUCAAUGUCAACUUUGGUUGGGUUGCCGAAAACAUAAUUAUUGAUGACAAUUAUGAAAUUAGUUAAUCAAUUAUGUUAAUAAUUGUUAUGUUAAUUGACUAACUAAUCUCAUAAUUAUAAUUAACUAUGUUUUCAGCAACCCAACCAAAGUUGACAUUGACAGUAAUUAAAUAUUUGAUAGUGAUCAAUGUUGAUUAGCGUUCGAACAACCGGCCCUAAGUGUAACUUAUUUGUUUAUUAUAUAAAUUAUCUGCUGAAUGGUAAAUUGUAUCAUUUAUUGAGUUUUACCUGUAUGUAGAACGUAAAAAGCUGAGAAUUUUGGUAUACUUAGCUCAAUAUUUUAAAAUUUAUCAUUUACCUGGUUUUCGCAGUAUACCGACGAAUAUAUCAAUAGAAUCUUACAUAUUUCAGCAUAAACCUGAUUUUGCCGAAAUCCUUCAUUUUCGCAUAUUUCAUACAGCUCAAUAGAUAAAAACCGACUUUAUUCAGUCGUGUUUCGUUUGUGGUCAUCUGAGUAGAUGGCACUUUUGCAACUAUCCACUGUUAGUGGAAAAUAUCAAGACAUGUUUAUCUUUCUGUUUCUAUCUACCCGGAUUUCUGACGAUGCAGGGUUAUGCUAAAACAUGUAAGAUCCUAUUGAUACCAAUGCAUAUACAAAGGGUUUAACGAAUUGUGCUCUUGCGCCAUAUGUUUUCUUUUAAUUGGAUCAAAGCGUUGGCAAAGCUUUUGUCGAAAUCCAAUUUCACACAUAUUUCAUACAGCUCAAAAGACAGAAGCUGACUUUAUCGAGUCGUGUUUCAUUUAUGGCCAUCAGAGUAGAUGGUUCUUUUGUAGCUAUCCACUGGUAGUGGGAAAUAUCUAGAGAUAUUCUUCAACCUUUCUAUUUAUGAAUUUACAUCUACCAGGAUCUCUGACAAUGCAGGGUUAUCCUGAAUAUGUAAGGUCCUAUUGAUAUCAAUUCAUAUACAGAGUAUUUCGAACUUUCUGUUUAUGAAUGUGUAUCUGCCCGAAUCUCUGACGAUGCAGCGUUAUGCUGAAACAUGUAAGGUCCUAUUGAUACCAAUUCAUAUACAGAGGGUUUAACGAAUUGUGCUGUUGCGCAAGACAUUUGGUUUCAAUUGCAUCAAAGCGUUGGCAAAGCUUUUGCCGAAAUCCUUUAUUCUUGUAUAUUUCUUAUAUCUCAAAAGUUAGACACCGACUUUAUCGAGUCGAGUUUCGUUUAUGGUCGUCAAAGCAGAUGACACUUUUGUAGCUAUCCACUGGUAGUGGGAAAUAUCUAGAGACAUUAUUCGAACUUUCUGUUUAUGAAUUUGUAGGUAACUGCGCGGAUCUCUGACGAUGCUGGGUUAUGCUGAAACAUGUAAGAUCCUAUUGAUACCAAUUCAUAUACAGACGGUAUAACGAAUGGUGUUCUUGCGCCAUAUGCUUUGUUUUAAUUGCAUCAAAUCUUUGGCAAAACUUUUGCCACAAUCUGAUUUCUUGCAUAUUUCAUACAGCUCAACAAAUAGAAACCGACUUUAUCGACUCGUGUUUCGUUUAAGGCCAUCAGAGUAGACAGCCCUUUUGUAGCUAUCCACUGGUAGUGGGAAAUAUCUAGAGACAUUUUUCGAACUUUCUGUUUAUGAAUUUGUAGGUAUCUGCGCGGAUCUCUGACGAUGUAGGUUUAUGCUGAAACGUAUAAAAACCUAUUGAUAUCAAAGAUGUUUUAACGAAUUUUGCGCAAGAUAUGUGGUUUCAAUUGCAUCUAAGCGUUGGCAAAGCUUUUGCCAAAAUUUGAGUUCUCGCAUAUUUCAUACAGCUCAAAAGUUAGACACCGACUUUAUCGAGUCGUGUUUCGUUUAUGGCUAUCAGAGUAGAUGGCCCAUAGCAAUCCACUGGUAUUGGGAAAUAUCUAGAGAUAUUCUUCAACCUUUCUAUUUAUGAAUUUACAUCUAUCAGGAUCUCUGACAAUGCAGGGUUAUCCUGAAUAUGUAAGAUCCUAUUGAUAUCAACUCAUAUACAGAAUACUUCGAACUUUCUGUUUAUGGAUGUGUAUCUGCCCGGAUCUCUGACGAUGCAGGGUUAUGCUGAAACAUGUAAGAUUCUAUUGAUACCAAUUCAUAUACAGAUGGUUUAACGAAAUUGCGCUCUUGCGCGGUAUGUUUCGUUUUAAUUGCAGUAAAGCGUUGUCACAGCUUUUGCUGAAAUCCUUUAUUCUCGCAUGGGUAUUUUACACAGCUCAAAAGAUAGAAACCGACUUUAUCGACUGGUGUUUCGUUUAAAGCCAUCAGAGUAGAUGGCUUUUUUGUAGCUAUCCACUGGUAGUGGGAAAUAUCAAGAGACAUUCUUCGAACUUUCUGUUGAUGAAUCUGCUCGGAUCUCUGACGAUGCAGGGUUAUGCUGAAAGAUGUAAGAUCCUACUGAUACCAAUUCAUAUACAGAGGGUUUAACCAAUUGAGGUCUUGCGCCGUAUGUUGGGUUUUAAUUGCUUUAAAGCGAUGGUAAAGCUUUUGCUGAAAUCCUUCAUUCUCGCAUAUUUCAUACAGCUCAAAAGAUAGAAACUGAUUUUUUCGGGUUCUGUUUCGUUUAUGGCCAUCAGAUUAGAUGGUACUUUUUUAGCUAUCCACUGGUAGUGGGAAAUAUCAAGAGACAUUAUUCGAACUUUCUGUUUAUGAAUUUGUUUCUGGGCGUAUCUCUGACCCUGCAGGGUUAUCCUGAAUAUGUAAGAUCCUAUUGAUAUCAACUCAUAUAUAGAAAAUAAUAUUUCGAACUUUCUGUUUAUGAAUGUGUAUCUGCCCGGAUACCUGACGAUGCAGGGUUAUGCUGAAACUUGUAAGAUCCUAUUGAUACCAAUUCAUAUACAGAGUGUUUAACGAAUGGUGCUUUUGCCAAAAUCCGAUUUCUUGCAUAUUUUUUACAGCUCAAAAAAUAGAAACCGACUUUAUCGACUCGUGUUUCGUUUAAGGCCAUCAGAGUAAAUGGCCCUUUUGUAGCUAUCACUAUUCCCACUAGCAUGGUAGUGGGAAAUAUCUAGAGACAUUCUUCGAACUUUCUGUUUAUGAAUUUGUAAGUAUCUGCGCGGAUCUCUGACGAUGUAGGUUUAUGCUGAAACGUAUAAAAACCUAUUGAUAUCAAAGAUGUUUUAACGAAUUUUGAGCAAGAUAUGUGGUUUCAAUUGCAUCUAAGCGAUGUCAAAGCAUUUGCCAAAAUUUGAGUUCUCGCAUAUUUCAUACAGCUCAAAAGUUAGGCAUCGACUUUAUCGAAUCGUGUUUCGUUUAUAGCUAUCAGAGUAAAUGGCCCAUAGCUAUCCACUGGUAUUGGGAAAUAUCUAGAGAUAUUCUUCAACCUUUCUAUUUAUGAAUUUACAUCUACCAGGAUCUCUGACAAUGCAGUGUUAUCCUGAAUAUGUAAGAUCCUAUUGAUAUCAACUCAUAUACAGAAUACUUCGAACUUUCUGUUUAUGGAUGUGUAUCUGCCCGGAUCUCUGACGAUGCAGGAUUAUGCUGAAACAUGUAAGAUCCUACUGAUACCAAUUAAUAUACGGAGGGUUUAACCAAUUGAGGUCUUGGGGCGUAUGUUGGGUUUUAAUUACAUUAAAGCGAUGUCAAAGCUUUUGCUGAAAUCCUUCAUUCUCGCAUAUUUCAUACAGCUCAAAAGAUAGAAACUGAUUUUUUCGGGUUCUGUUUCGUUUAUGGCCAUCAGAUUAGAUGGUACUUUUGUAGCUAUCCACUGGUAGUGAGAAAUAUCAAGAGACAUUCUUCGAACUUUCUGUUUAUGAAUUUGUAUCUGGGCAGAUCUCUGACCAUGCAGGGUUAUCCUGAAUAUGUAAGAUCCUAUUGAUAUCAACUCAUAUAUAGAAAAUAAUAUUUCGAACUUUCUGUUUAUGAAUGUGUAUCUGCCCGGAUACCUGACGAUGCAGGGUUAUGCUGAAACUUGUAAGAUCCUAUUGAUACCAAUUCAUAUACAGAGUGUUUAACGAAUGGUGCUUUUGCCAAAAUCCGAUUUCUUGCAUAUUUCUUACAGCUCAAAAAAUAGAAACCGACUUUAUCGACUCGUGUUUCGUUUAAGGCCAUCAGAGUAAAUGGCCCUUUUGUAGCUAUCACUAUUCCCACUAGCAUGGUAGUGGGAAAUAUCUAGAGACAUUCUUCGAACUUUCUGUUUAUGAAUUUGUAGGUAUCUGCGCGCAUCUCUGACGAUGAAGGGUUAUGCUGAAACAUGUAAGAUCCUAUUGAUAAGAAUUCAUAUACAGAGGGUUUAACUAAUUGAGCUCUUGCGCAAGAUAUUUGGUUUGAAUUGCAUCAAAGCGUUGGCAAAGCUUUUGUCGAAAUCUUUUAUUCUUGUAUAUAUUUCAUAUAGCUCAAAAUAUAGAAGCCGACUUUAUCGAGUCGUGUUUCGUUUAUGGCCAUCAGAGUAGAUGGCAUUUUUGUAGCUAUCCACUGGUAGUGAGAAAUAUCAAGAGAUAUUCUUCGAAUUUUCUGUUUAUAAAUUUAUAUCUACCAGGAUCUCUGGCAUUGCAGGGUUAUCCUGAAUAUGUAAUAUCCUAUUGAUAUCAACUCAUAUGCAGAAUAUUUCGAACUUUCUGUUUAUGAAUGUGUAUCUGCCGGGACCUCUGACGAUGUAGGGUUAUGCCGAAACAUGUAAGAUCCUACUGAUACCAAUUCAUAUACAGAGGCUUUAACGAGUUGUGCUCUUCAUAUGCUGCAUUCUCUCAUAUUUCAUACAGCUCAAAAGAUCGAAACAGACUUAUUAUACUUUUGUUUCGUUUAAGGCUCUCAGAGUAGAUGCCCUUUUGUAGCUAUUCACUGGCAGUGGGAAAUAUCAAGAGACAUUCUUCGAACUUUCUGUUUAUAAAUUUGUAUCUGCCCCGAUCUCUGACGAUGCAGGGUUAUGCUGUUAUGCUGAGUUUAACGAGUUGUGUUCUUGCGCAAGAUAUUUGGUUUCAAUUGCAUCAAAGCGUUGGCAAAGCUUUUGCCGAAAUCCUUUAUUCUUGUAUAUUUCAUAUAGCUCAUAACAUAGAAACCGACUUUAUCGAGUCGUGUUUCGUUUAUGGUCGUUAGAGUAGAUGGCAGCUUUGUAGCUAUACACUGGUAGUGAGAAAUAUCAAGAGAUAUUCGUCGAAUUUUCUGUUUGUAAAUUUAGAUCUUCCAGAAUUUCUGACCGUGCAGGGUUGUCCUGAAUAUGUAAGAUCCUAUUGAUAAAGUCCUUUUCAUGAGCAUUUUUCAGUGCGUCGCAGUUUUUCGAUGUCUUUCUAACGCAUUAAAUUGUAUGUGACAGAAAAAAGGCACGUCUGUGAUUACAGACAUUUAUAACAUUUAUUUUAGUUAUUCUAGUUGUCGAUAGAUGGCGCUGUAAUCGAAGAAAAAAUUAUUUACGAAUUAUAUAAUAUAUCUACGCAUAUAAUCUGUACAAUUUCUAAGACUAUUAGAAAAGGCGAAAACGACGGGAUCGUCGUGAGACACCCCAGAAUAAGGUUCAAGAAGUCGCCCACGCGAAAAGUGGUCAAUUUUUUUUAACAAUUUCUUUUAAUCAAAUUGCAAAAAUCAAUGUUUUCGGCUCGGAGAUUUUUUUUAGAUUUUUCGGACCCUUCCGGACAGAAAAGGUUUCUUAUAAUGUUUCUCUAAAGUUGAUCGUGUUCGAGUUAUAAUCAAUUUAAAAUUUGAAAAACGCGAAAAUGGCUAUUUUUAAGACUUAAUAACUCGGUUAAAAAUGAUUAUUAUGAAAGUCAGAAAGUGACUAAAUCAAAUUUAAAGGCCCCCUUCAUGAUCCUGAAGAAAUUUGUGUCAUUAAUUUAAUACUAAGCUGCUAUUUUUAAUUAUUAAUAAUGAGUGGUAAGAUAGUAUUGACGCGGCUGUAAAUGUGAGUGCGAGUGAGAUGUGCCAUUGGAUUGCCUGAAUGGCAUCUCUUUCGCACUCAUCAUGGACGGCCGCCUAAUACGUGCAUGGCGCUCAUUAUUUUUACUUAAACAUAACAGCUUAUUAAUCAAAUAAUGACAAAAAUUUCUUCAGGAUCUUGUAGGGGGGCUUUAAACUUUGAUUUAGUUACUUUCUGACUUUCAUAGUAAUAACUUUUAACCGAGUUUUUUAUAAACCUUGAAAAUCGCCAUUUUUCGUUUUUUUCAAUUUUAAAAUGCUUUUACCUCGAAAACGAUUAACUUUAGAGAAAAAUUAUAAGAGACGUUUUGUAUCCAGAAUGUUCCAAAAAACCUAAAAAAAAUUUGUUCCGGCCAAAAAUAUUAAUUUUUACAAUUUGAUUAAAAAAGAUUGUUAAAAAAAUUUGGACCACUUUUCGCGUGGGCGACUUCUUGAAUCUUAUUCUGGAACGUCUCACGAAUGUGAUUAUGGAAAGAAAUCUCAUUGGAAUAUUUUCUCCAAAGAACCCGACGUUUUCGCCUUGUCUAUAUGCAAAUCAAAGAAAAUACCAUUUUAUAAAUGCAAUAAACAGCAUUGAUUUGUUUUUAUGCCAGAUUGCAAAUAAAAUGUAACAACUGUCAGAUUUAACUAAAAUGUCAUGUUAGAAUAAAUGUCAUAAAUGUGUAUUAUCACGGACUUACCUUUUUUUCUAUCAUUUGUGACGCACUGAAAAAUGCUCAUGAAAACGACUCUAACCAAUAAUUCAUACACAGAGGGUUUAACGUAUUAUGUAUUAUGUUUUAUUUUAAAUAUAUAUGUAUAUAUGUAUAUGGUGCAAAUGAAAGGCAUAUUGAUACAGGGUGUUCAAAAAAAAAUUUAAUCAAAUUACCUACUUGACGCAAAAAGAAAAAUGUAUGUAAUUUAUUUAAUUCAAAAUAUAUUUUACUGCUCUCAGAAAACAGAAACAAAUAUUUAUUUGACAAAUAAACAUUGCUUUUCGCUUAUAUUAAACGUUAAAAGUGUCAAGAGGCAAGUGGGUGGCAGCUUGAACAUUGAAUUUAAGCGGAAAGCAAUGUUUAUUUGCUAAAUAAACAAUUUUUUCUGUUUUUAAGGGCAGUAAAAUGUAUUUUGAACUAAAUAAAUUACAUACAUUCUUUUUUGUGUCAAUUAAUUUAAGUAAAAUAAAAUUUUUUGGGCACCCUGUAUAAAUAAUUAUAUUAAUUCAAAGUUGUAUUUCCGAAGAAAAAUAAAACUUUUAAUGAGACCACGUUUCUGGUAACGCUUACAUGGUGUCUAUUACUUGCAAACCAAACGAAUGUUGGAUUAAAGAAGACUAAGGGGAAAUGUAUAAUUUGCGUCUCAUUUCCCGUCUAUCCAACGUGGCAAAAUUCCAACGAAAACAUGGUGUCGAUACUCAGAUAGGAGUAAGAUUAAUAUAAAAGAAUUUCGCCGCGAAACGAAACGAAGGGACGUAUUAUAUUUUAGUUUGUUCGGAGUGCGCCAUAAAUAAUCUUACUAGUUUCAUUAGAAAUCAUCAGAGAUUGUAUACAGUGAGCACGUAAAGGUUGGAAUAAUUUCAUUUUCUCGAGAAUGGACGAUUUUGGAAAAAAAUCCCGAAGCAGGUCAAUUUUUAUUUUUAAAUUACGACUUUCUGGUAUUUAUAUAAUACUAGUGACGUCACCCAUUUGGGCGUUAUGAAGUCAUCGAUAAUUUUUUUAAAAGGGAAUAGGGAUCGUAUGAUAGCUCAUUUAAAAGGUAAUUCAAUUCUCUAUUCAGUAAUAUAAACAUUAACAUAACUAUUUAUACAGGGUGUCGAAAAAAAUUUUUUUGAAUUCAAUUUAUUGACAUAAAAAGAAGAAUAUGUGUAAUUGAUUUAAUUCAAAAUACAUUUUACUGCUCUCAGAAAACAGAAAAAAAUGUUUUUUUGAAAAAAAAAAAUCAUUGCUUUUCGCUUAAAUUAAAUGCUCAAAUUGUCAAGCGGUAAGUGGGUGGCUGCUUUAAUAUCUAUUGAAUUUGCAAAAAACAAUAUUUAUUUGUCAAAUAAACUUUUUUCCUUUUUUCUGAUAGCAGUAAAAUGUAUUUUGAAUUAAAUAAAUUACACAGAUUCUUCUUUUUAUGUCAAUAAGUUUAAUUAAAAAAAUUUUUUUUUGGACACCCUGUAUAAAUAAUUAUGUUAAUGUUUAUAUUGCUAAAUAGAGAAUUGAAUUACCUGUCAAAUGAGCUAUGACACGACUCCUAUUCUCAUUUAAAAAAAAUCAUCGAUGACGUCACCACGCCCAAAUGGGUGACGUCACUAGUAUGAUAUAUAUGCCAAAAAGUCGUAAUUUAAAAAUAAAAAUCGACCUGUUUCGGGAUUUUUUUCCAAAAUUGUCCAUUCUCGAGAAAAUGAAUUUAUUCCAACCUUUACGUGCUCACUGUAUAUUAUAUGGAUAUCUCUAUAUGUCUAAUGAUCAUAUUUAGUUUAUAUUACUGAAUAGAGGAUUAAAUAGGCUUUCAAAUGAACUAGCACGCGACCCCUAAUCUUAUUUAAAAAAAACUUCGAUUACGUCAUCACGCUUAGAUGGACGGCGUCACUAGUAUGAUAUGUAUGUGCCAAAAAUCAAAACUUAAAAAUAAAAAUCUACCUGUUUUGGGAUUUAUUUCCAAAAUCGUCCAUUAACGAGAAAAUGAAUUGAUUUCUUUCAUUUGCACCAUACAUAAUAUAUGCAUCUUUCAAACCAAACCUUUCUUUGAGUUCGCCAUAGUUUAAAGAUACCUCCGUGAGUAUUACCUUACACAUAGAACUUUAUUUAUUCGUUGACCAGUAGUUACACAUUAAAGCGACUUCUAGUUACUGAUGUAUAAAUGGUUGGCGUUUAAAAUACGCUAAAUAGAUAACCAAUCAAUGAUGCGGAUAAAGAUAAUUUGACGCAAAACUUGAUCGUGACAGUACUUUCACAAUGUCAACGGGUAAAAUAACAACUGUCAUUUUAGGGUAGUAUUUUCCGUUAUUAUAUAGUGAAAAGUUUAUUUUAUAUUAAUUUAAUAUUGCAUUAAAAUAUUUUAAAUAUUAAUAUUCUGGAAAGUAUUUGUGUAAAUAUAUUUAUAUACACAUAUAAAUAUUCUGGCAACUGUCAGACUUAACUAAAAUGAUUCAAUGAUUCGCGACAUACUUAAAAUCCUAUAUGACGUCAAAAUUAAUGACGCACUAAAAAGAAGGGCUUGGUUUGAACGUUAUAUAGUAGUAUUAGUGUAUGUAAUAAUAAUGUUUUUAAUGUAGCGUAGAUUGUAAAUAAAGGGGUUUGUUUGGUU